GUCCAAGCUUGCUUAAUGUGGGUUUUGUGACUGUUACAAUUCCACCACCACCUUUGCCAUUGUCAAAUACAGAUGCUACAGGGUGUCUGUCAUGGUUGGAUAGCCAAAAAACCAUGUCCGUGGCUUAUAUUAGCUUUGGAACUGUGGCUAAUUUCCCUCAUAAUGAGAUUAAAGAAUUGGCAGAGGCACUCCAAGAGAAUAGAAUUCCAUUUCUUUGGUCACUGAGGGAGAAUUUAAGGGGGAUUUUGCCAGAUGGUUUUAUUGAGAGGACUAGCUUGCAUGGAAAGGUAGUUCCAUGGGCACCACAGGCCCAAGUAUUGGCACAUAAAUCAAUUGGUGUACAUGUGACACAUUGUGGAGCUAAUUCUGUGUGUGAGAGCAUAGCAAAUGGGAUUCCAAUGAUUUGUAGGCCUGGAGUUUUUGCUGAUAAUUUGACAAAUGCAAAAAUAACAGAGGACAUAUGGAAGGUUGGUGUGAGAGUUGAUGGUGGUGUCUUCACAAAGAAUGGGGUAACCAAGAGCUUAGAGCUCAUCAUGGUUCAUGAACAAGGGAGAAAAAUAAGAAGCAAGGCUCAUGCCCUUCAAGAGCUUCUUUUGCAGGCUGCUGCUCCCAAUGGACAUGCUGCGCAAGAUUUCAAAACUUUGGUGGAAAUUCUUUCAUCAAACCAGGCACUCAAUAAUUAGUUUUAAUUGGUAUGCUUAAACAAAUCACAUGUAAUGAGUCUUGGUUCAAGACUAUGUAUCUUUUCUUGUAGGCGC
rnacentral:misc_RNA from 1 species